UACGGAGGGGGCUAGCGUUGUUCGGAAUUACUGGGCGUAAAGCGCGCGUAGGCGGACCUGCAAGUCGGGGGUGAAAGCCCGAGGCUCAACCUCGGAACUGCCUUCGAUACUGCGGGUCUCGAGUCCGGGAGAGGUGAGUGGAAUUCCUAGUGUAGAGGUGAAAUUCGUAGAUAUUAGGAAGAACACCAGUGGCGAAGGCGGCUCAGCUGGCCCGGUACUGACGCUGAGGCGCGAAAGGCGUGGGGAGCAAACAGG
rnacentral:rRNA from 1 species